rnacentral:rRNA from 1 species
CAUGGGCUCAGGAUGAACGCUAGCGGGCAGGCCUAAUCAUGCAAGUCGAACGGUAAGGCCCUUUGGGGGUACACGAGUGGCGGACGGGUGCGUAACGCGUAUGGCAACAUACCUUCAAGCGGGGGAUAUGGCCAGGGAAACUUGGUGCAACACCCCAUAGCAUUUCGGGACCGCAUGGUCUUGGGAUUAAAUAUUUAUAGCCUUGGAGAUUGGCAUGCGUGACAUUAGCUAGUUGGCGGGGUAACGGCCCACCAAGGCGACGAUGUCUAGCUGGUCUGAGAGGAUGAUCAGCCACACUGGGACUGAGACACGGCCCAGACUCCUACGGGAGGCAGCAGUAGGGAAUAUUGGACAAUGGGGGAACCCUGAUCCAGCCAUGCCGCGUGAGGGAAGAAGGUCCUCUGGAUUGUAAACCUCUUUUGGCGGGGACAAACCUGCACUAUACGUGCAGCUGAGGGUACCCGCAGAAUAAGCACCGGCUAACUCCGUG